rnacentral:rRNA from 1 species
AUUGAACGCUGGCGGCAUGCUUUACACAUGCAAGUCGAGCGGCAGCGCGGGGGCAACCCUGGCGGCGAGCGGCGAACGGGUGAGUAAUGCAUCGGAACGUACCCUGGAGUGGGGGAUAACGCCGCGAAAGCGGCGCUAAUACCGCAUAUGCUCUGAGGAGGAAAGUGGGGGACCGCAAGGCCUCACGCUCUGGGAGCGGCCGAUGUCCGAUUAGCUAGUUGGUGAGGUAAAGGCUUACCAAGGCGACGAUCGGUAGCUGGUCUGAGAGGAUGAUCAGCCACACUGGGACUGAGACACGGCCCAGACUCCUACGGGAGGCAGCAGUGGGGAAUUUUGGACAAUGGGGGCAACCCUGAUCCAGCCAUGCCGCGUGAGUGAAGAAGGCCUCGG